rnacentral:rRNA from 1 species
GGGUGAGUAAUGCCUAGGAAUCUGCCUGGUAGUGGGGGACAACGUUUCGAAAGGAACGCUAAUACCGCAUACGUCCUACGGGAGAAAGCAGGGGACCUUCGGGCCUUGCGCUAUCAGAUGAGCCUAGGUCGGAUUAGCUAGUUGGUGGGGUAAUGGCUCACCAAGGCGACGAUCCGUAACUGGUCUGAGAGGAUGAUCAGUCACACUGGAACUGAGACACGGUCCAGACUCCUACGGGAGGCAGCAGUGGGGAAUAUUGGACAAUGGGCGAAAGCCUGAUCCAGCCAUGCCGCGUGUGUGAAGAAGGUCUUCGGAUUGUAAAGCACUUUAAGUUGGGAGGAAGGGCAGUAAGCGAAUACCUUGCUGUUUUGACGUUACCGACAGAAUAAGCACCGGCUAACUCUGUGCCAGCAGCCGCGGUAAUACAGAGGGUGCAAGCGUUAAUCGGAAUUACUGGGCGUAAAGCGCGCGUAGGUGGUUUGUUAAGUUGGAUGUGAAAGCCCCGGGCUCAACCUGGGAACUGCAUCCAAAACUGGCAAGCUAGAGUACGGUAGAGGGUGGUGGAAUUUCCUGUGUAGCGGUGAAAUGCGUAGAUAUAGGAAGGAACACCAGUGGCGAAG